rnacentral:rRNA from 1 species
UCGAGGGGUAACAUUGGUGCUUGCACCAGAUGACGACCGGCGCACGGGUGAGUAACGCGUAUGCAACCUGCCUGUACCUGGGGGAUAGCCCUUGGAAACGAGGACUAAUACCCCAUAAUACUUAGUUAUCGCAUGGUAAUUAUUUUAAAAUUUCGAUGGGUACAGAUGGGCAUGCGUGACAUUAGCUAGUUGGUGAGGUAACGGCUCACCAAGGCAUCGAUGUCUAGGGGUUCUGCAAGGAAGGCCCCCCACACUGGUACUGAGACACGGACCAGACUCCUACGGGAGGCAGCAGUGAGGAAUAUUGGUCAAUGGAGGCAACUCUGAACCAGCCAAGCCGCGUGAAGGAAGACUGUUCUACGAAUUGUAAACUUCUUUUCUGGAGGAAUAAAGACAGGUACGAGUAUUUGUUUGCAUGUACUCCAGGAACAAGCAUCGGCUAACUCCGUGCCAGCAGCCGCGGUAAUACGGAGGAUGCAGGCGUUAUCCGGAUUUAUUAGGUUUAAAGGGUGUCUAGGUGGGCUGGUAAGUCAGAGGUGAAAGUCGGUUGCUUAACAAUCGAAUUGCCUUUGAUACUGUCAGUCUUGAGUAUGGUUGAUGUGGGCGGAAUGUGUAGUGUAGCGGUGAAAUGCAUAGAUAUUACACAGAACCCCAAUUGCCAAGGCAGCUCACAAAACCUUUACUGACACUGAAGCACGAAAGCGUGGGUAGCGAACAGGAUUACAUACCCUGGUAGUCCACGCCGUAAACUAUGCUCACUCGCUGUCGGCGGAUACGCAGUCACCGGGUCAAGGGGACCGGAUAAGGGAGCCACCUGGGGAGUACGGUCGCAAGAGUGAGACGUCGAAGGAAUUGACGGGGGCCCGCACAAGCGGUGGAACAUGUGGUUUAAGUCGAUGAUACGGCGAGGAACCGUACCGGGGCUUAGAUGUAUAGUGCAUGAACUGGAAACAGUUCUUUCCUUCGGGACUCUGUACAAGGUGCUGCAUGGUUGUCGUCAGCUCGUGCCGUGAGGUGUCGGGUUAAGUCCCAUAACGAGCGCAACCCCUAUCGUUAGUUACCAGCACGUAGUGGUGGGGACUCUAGCGAAACUGCCGGUGUAAACCGCGAGGAAGGUGGGGAUGACGUCAAAUCAGCACGGCCCUUAUGUCCAGGGCUACACACGUGUUACAAUGGCCGGUACAGCGGGCAGCUUCAUAGCGAUAUGCGGCAAAUCCCGAAAGCCGAUCCCAGUUCGGAUUGGAGUCUGCAACCCGACUCCAUGAAGUUGGAAUCGCUAGUAAUCGCGCAUCAGCCAUGGCGCGGUGAUACGUUCCCGGGCCUUGUACACACCGCCCGUCAAGCCAUGGAAGUUUGGGGUACCUGA